rnacentral:lncRNA from 1 species
AUGCCACAACUUUGACCAAGAUUAGUGAGGUAUCUCUCUCUUCUAUUCUAUCAGAUUAUUCACUUACUCCCCUUGAUCUUGAAGAACUUCCUGCAUCAGAAGUUCUCUUCUUUGUAGCUUCGAUCCUCCUAUUAUGAGCAGAAUCAGAUGACAAAGAUUAUGAAGGCAGAACAUUAGAUAUUGAAGUGCAACCAAGAUUUUUAGUGCUAGGGACAGUUGAUGAAUCGACACUUGUGGAAAAACUUUGAGGUAAAGUAUGUCGGUGAACAAAAGUGGAAGCACCUUGAGGUCUACCUAAAUUUAUUUCUUCUUUAUCCUUUUGCAUAUGUGCUAAAGCAUUCAAUGCAGUAUUCCUGAAAUUAACUGCACGUGCAUAACUACCCGAAGAAUCAGAAACAUAUAAAACUCCAAGAUCAUGCUCUUCUGGCAUGCCUCCAGUAGUUGUUGAGGAUGAUGAAGCUUAUGAGAUACUCUUCUGAUGUAUGGAUGCCCAUCACCAAAUACAGAAGCUUUCUUGCCACUUUGUAGGCGUCUAACCUCAGUUCUUCUGUUACUUUUUUCAGCAAUGUCCGUCUCUGCCAAAAAGGGUUGUUUAUGUCUCUCAUCGCAAUAUUUACUAGCAGGAGCUUUUGAAGAGCUUACAGAUGAGUCCCUAGAGCUUGAUGAAUGAAGUGGCCCUUGAAAAUACCUUGGUUUCUUUUUAUUUUCAGUGAACCAUGAUUUUACAGGACUGGAAUUUGAACUCUUCCCUGGCUACUUGUUGUACUGACUUGGCCUAUCGUAACUGCUUUGAUUUCUCACAGGAAUGCCUAAACCUCUUCUAAGAAACCCAACUAGGGUAGUAGUGGGGCAGAUUCGUCCAUAUUAAAUUGCAGCAAACUAAACUUGCAUUGGGACACGAUAAUAGGAAAGAUUUGGGAGAUCUUCUUCAGGAGAUACCUUGUUUUUUAAUGCAAUUACUUUUUGCUCUCUCACAAGUAUAAACAAAUGCAGUAUUGAAUCCCAUCCUAAACUACUUUCAAUUCCUUGGAAAUUAUGCUCCAUAUGUUAUAGCAUAGGUCUCUGCCAACCUUGUAAUUACUCUACCUAUUUCAUUACAUUCGUAUAUGCUUAUUUUGAGUGGUGAUAACCACAUCGUUUUGCUCCUGUUUUUUUUUGGAAAAUUUAGGAUAGAGAUGACGCCAUCGAUCUGGACGAAUGGCGAGCUCGACGAUCUAGAGUCAGAUCUGGUGGGGAAGAAGACUGGUCGGUCGUUACCGACG